CAAUAAGGCGGUUUUGUUACAAGAGAUCAUUACCGUGUUUGCGAACAUCACGAGGAAAUAUGUGAAGAACCCCGUUCGAAGUUUUAGGGUUGAAGAAUGUGAUACUAAUAAGGUGUAUAAAGAUCAAUGUAAUCAAAC